rnacentral:rRNA from 1 species
UACGUAGGGUGCAAGCGUUUAAUCGGAAUUACUGGGCGUAAAGCGUGCGCAGGCGGUCUUGCAAGACAGAUGUGAAAUCCCCGGGCUCAACCUGGGAACUGCAUUUGUGACUGCAAGGCUAGAGUACGGUAGAGGGGGAUGGAAUUCCGCGUGUAGCAGUGAAAUGCGUAGAUAUGCGGAGGAACACCGAUGGCGAAGGCAAUCCCCUGGACCUGUACUGACGCUCAUGCACGAAAGCGUGGGGAGCAAACAGG